GGGGGUGGCCGCGGGGCCCCAGGCGCCCGGCCGCCCGCCCGCUCCCGGCGGAAGGAGGCGGAGAGGCGCGAGUCGGGGGCAGCGGCGGCGGCGAGCACCCGGCGAGCGAAAAGGGGCCGGGCGGGAGCACCCCGGGUCCCAGCCGGGCGCCGCGAGAGGGCGCUGCUGCCGGCGCGGCGGGGACGGGGAGCCGGACGGGGCAAGGAGGGCUGGGCCGGGAGGCGCGGAGCCCACGCCGCGCCCGUGCGCGCCCGCUACUUACCCACGGAGCAGUGUUUGGAUGCCUGCCACUCCAGCAGUGUCUGCCACAUGGACUGACAGCCUUCACAUUGCUGAACGCUGAGUGAGGAUCAGCACCAGGCCUCAGGAGUUCAGGAACUUCUAACCAGACCUAGAUGACCUGCAUGGCUGUUUGGUUCUUGCUGGAGUCCUGGACCCUUCCGUCCUCGAACCUUGGGCCCCAACUGAAAACAAGGAGAAGCCGAAGCAGAUCAGAGAACAGAAGAGAAGCUAAUCCAAGGAGGCACAUAAGAAGGUGUAGAAUUUAAAGCAAAUCUCUUCUUUGUCUUAUCUUCACAAAAUAACAGCCUUUGGUUUGUUUAUAUGUUUGAAGUUAACCUUAGAUUGUACAAUGCUAGACCAAGUAAGGAAAUUGAGGCAAGAUUGAUGAAGUCUUGAAUGGCAGGCUUAUAAAGCUGCACCUUUUCCACCAGUCUAAAGGGAACAGCUGGUGCCAGUGUUGGAGCACUGCUGAUUAAGCCUCCACUGGCAAUGCCAGCAUCCAUAGCAGAGUGCCAGUUCAAGACCUGGCUGCUCUGCUUCUGAGUCGGCUUCCUGCUAAUGUGACUGGGAAGGCAGCAGAAGAUAGCCCAAGUACUUGGGCUUCUGCUACCCAUGUGGAAGACACAGAUGGAGGUCCUGGCUCCUGGCUUCAGCAUGGCCUAGUCCUGACUAUUGCAGCUAUUUGGGAGUGAACCAGCAGGUAAAAGAUCUCUCUUUCUCUCUUUGACAUUCUGCUCUUUAAAAUAUGUGCAUACAUACAUACAUAAAUUUUAAAACAAGAAAAAACAUCCUACAUCAGAGUAGCCUGGGUUCAAUUCCCAGCUCCUGUUCCUGAUACUGGCUUCUUGCUAAUGCCUACUUUGUGAGGCAGUGGUGAUGGCUCUAGUAAUUGGGUUCCUGCCACCCACAUGGGAGACCAGCAUUGAAUUUCUGGCCCAGUCCCAGAUGCUGUGGGCAUUUGGAGAAUGAACCAGUAAAUGGAAGGUCGGUUGGUCGCUCUCUCUCUCUCUCUCUCUCUCUCUCUGCCUUUCAAAUAAAGAAAUUUUUAUGAAGAUAUAUUUAUUUUAUUUGAAAGACAUAGCUACAGAGAGAGGAGAGACCAUGAGAGAGAGAGAUUCUAUCAACUGUUUCACUCCCCAAAUGGCUACAAUGGCCAGGGCUGGGCCAGGCCAAACCUGGGAGCCCAAGCACUGGGGCCAUCUUUUGCUGCUCUCUCAGGCUCAUUAGCAGGGAGCUGGAUUGGAAAUGAAGCAGCCUGCUGGUGUUGCAGGCAGCGGCUUAACCUGCUACACCACAACACUGGCCCCAGAAAUUUAUAAAAAUGCUAUGUAUUAAAUUUAAAAAUUCACAAAGACGAGUUGUGAUAUUUUCCCUGCAUCUCAGUAGCUCAUCUUGGCCCCAACCCCAGCCCAAAGAGCACACACACUUCAUACAUAGUUCCAUCAUGCUCUUCGCCAAUCUAUCACAUUGUACUGUAACUGCUUCAGUACCCUAAUUUGCUGUUGUAUCUGUACAGUGCCUGACACAAAAAUACCUGUUGAAUUCACUAAUAUAACAUUAGAAAUCAUUUUUAAAAAACCAAUAGUUUAAUUUCCCAUACUUUUCCCAGUAGUGGCAGAUUGCAGAAAUUGGUGUUUUGCUGGGCUUAACUGAAAAACUGCAGUGUAAAAGCCAAGGGAGGCCGGCACUGCGGCUCACUAGGCUAAUCCUCCGCCUUGCGGCGGCCGGCAUACCAGAUUCUAGUCCUGGUCGGGGCGCCGGAUUCUGUCCUAGUUGCCCCUCUUCCAGGCCAGCUCUCUGCUGUGGCCAGGGAAGUGCAGUGGAGGAUGGCCCAAGUCCUUGGGCCCUGCACCCCAUGGGAGACCAGGAGAAGUACCUGGCUCCUGCCAUCGGAUCAGCGCAGUGCACUGGCCGCAGCGUGCCAGCCACAGCGGCCACUGGAGGCUGAACCAACGGCAAAGAAAGACCUUUCUCUCUGUCUCUCUCUCUCACUGUCCACUCUGCCUGUCAAAAAAAAAAAAAAAAAAAAAAGCCAAGGGAAUGACUUCCUUCCAUUGAAACUGCCCCUGCACUCAUGCUUAUUUAGAUUUUCCCUUCUGUCAGUCUCAGAUUGAUGCCUUCAGGCACAAAAGAAUGACAAUCCAAUCCAUACUCUGGAGCUAUUUUAAAAACCCAGAUCUGGGUUUGUUUUUUAAAUGAAGUAUUUGGGUAUUACUGCUUCAGCUAGGACUGGGUCAUUAAUUUGCAAAUGUGGAAGUCUUUUCCCAAACAAGUCAAAAGCCCAGUUAUUCAAGCGGUUCUGGAAUCAGAGAGAGGAAAAAAAAAUAGGAAUAUACAUUAAAUAGUCACAAUUCCCAUUUCUGAACAUUCUAUUCAGUUUGGGCAUUCAAGGCUCAGUGCUUUUCCUUAUGAGAAUUAUCUGACUGUGAAAUGCUUAUGGAAAACAGAAUCGUUAAGAAACACUGUUCUGUUGUGGCUCUCCAGGAUGCUCCUUGUAGUUGUUUGAGUUACACUGCUGAUGGCUCCUGAAAGGCGACAGUGCACUAAUGUGCUGGUGAUUCAGCGUAUGAGUUCUGGGAAGACACCUCUCCCUUUCCUCACUGCGUGUGUGCCCCAUGGAGAGGUGGCUGAGUAUGUGCCGACCCUGUGUGGGGCUCUACAGUGUCAUGUCCCCGCCUCCAGUCGAUCCCCCAAACAGCCUUUUGUGAAUUUGAUGAAAAGCGCGUUCUGAAAUAGGUCUAUAAAGCAUCUCGCCUGCG